UUUUGCAAUUUUUUCAAUUGAUUCGAAAGCCAAGAAGAUGAAAAACUCGCGCUUUGGCGACGCAGCUGUCACCAUCCUCCGGCAACGGCCAUACCAUGCUGAAUGCACCGGUUCUCGUCAGUCUUGCCUGAGCGUUGGUUCAAUCAAGUCAGGCAGAUACCUUUCAGCGUUGAUAACACAUCAAUCUUUGGAACGUGUGAAGUUACAGAGCUGCAGUGACACAACGCUGCGUGCACGGGCAGUUUUUUUUUUGUGCAUGAACUGAAAAAGAAAGUAGAUAACCGCUGUGGGGGGUGCCCCCCGACGCAACAAGAGCACCGUCUCGUGUGAAUUAUGGAAUCAUCCACCAACGCAUCCUUUUCUCUUAAAUCUUCGACCAAGAGAAAAAUUGCUGAUAUCUCAAACGAAUCAAUCGUACCCAUCCCAACCGACAAAUCUGUGAAAAUGCAGCGCGCCGGAUCCGCGUUCAUAGAGACAUCCAAGAGAUCUCCCACACAGCACACGUCAUCGGCACGGGCUACAAAAAGCGCAACAACGAAAUUGCGCGGCAAAAAAGCUAAAUUGGCACCGAAACCCAACUUAGUUACGCGCCCAAGAGCCAAAGUUUUCGCAUCUGAUGUAACACAAAUUCCCAAUCAAUCCAGCGAAUCUCCGUUAUGGAUGGGAGCCGAGAUUUUCGAAAAAUCCGAAAUAGAACGGAAACUCGAACACGCGUUACGUCAAAUCGAGAAGCUCAAGAAAGUAAACUUGGACAUGGCAACCCGAAUCGAGUCAUUUAAAAGUAAGAGACCCGAAUUCGGUCAACAGCUGAGCGCCGUGGAUUUAAACCGAACGGACAUUCAGCGGAGCCUGGAGCACAACAAACAACAACGUCGAGCAUCAUCACUCAGCAACCUAAGCCAAGGCCGCAGCUACACACCAGCGGAGGACGAGCUCAUCGACAUUGACCACAAUAACGCCGGCCACCCCCACCAGGUUGACAGCGGAGCCUCGCCUACGCGUCAUCCGAAUCACCAACACGAAGGGACCAACCAAAGUAGUACCUCUUUCCUAAAUAAAACAAACAAAGUCAAAAAAACACCACCGAUUAUAACGAUAGACCAGUCUGCUAAAGUCAUAUCCAACUUUAUGCUAGUCUCUAUGAAUAUUAAGAACUUUAACAUAAAAAGAAUUAGGCACAAUAAGCAUGUCAUCCACGUAGACAAUCUAAUCGAGUAGAAAAAAACCUGUAAAACCAUUAAAAAUAGGAAUAUCAGAAUUCUCACGUUCAUACCAAACGAAAUUAAAACAAAAACAGUUCUACUCAAGGGAAGAGAGGAAGAUUUCGAUGCGGAUGACAUACUCGAAGCCCUGAAAGCGCAGUCAAUAGACGAAUUAGAUUUCCAGGGUGUCUCGGUAUUUUCCACUUCCAAUUCUAAAAGGCUUAAUAGAAGCCCACCCAUGUUUUUAGUCAAAUUGUCGGCGAACAGCAACCUGUCGAAACUAAACAACAUAAAAAACAUUGUGUUUCAAUCUGUAACCUAGGACUCUUUGAAAAGGAGAGGGAAAAUUCAAUGCGAACGCUGUCAGCGAAUAGGUCACAUAUCGAGCAAUUGCAAACUCAGCCAUAGAUGUGUGAAAUGUGAAGAGAACUGUUACGUUUUCGAUUAACUUUGUGGUGGUUUUUUUUAUUUUUUUUAAGUUCUUUAUUUAUUUUUCUCUUGCAACAUCCCCGACGCGGAAUGAUGCGUUUCGCAGCACAUUUUUUUACUUAGUAGCGACAGUGUCGGUAACUAUCAUAACAAAAAAUGUUACUAAAUCUAUUGGGGAUAAAACAUAAAAAUUGGUAAUCCCAAACAUACCGCCCGCCUUGAAGGAACGGCUUCAACUUUCAGAAGGUAAGUACAUAUAAGUUUAAGUUAGGCAUAAUUAAACAUCAAUAGAUAUCUUAUGAAUGGUAACAACUUCUUUGGUAUUACUAACAACAAAGCUAAGUAAUCAAAUAAAUCAUCUCUCCCCCCUUUUUUUUUUUUUUUUAUGUAUCGAGAGGAAGGGCACACAGUUUCUUCACCGGACGCUUGAAGGUACCGCUGGAAGUCUUCACUGAAGCCACUCGGAUAACGCCGUCCUCCCCUGGGUACACCUGACUUACACGACCCAACGUCCAAUAUAGCGGAGCAGUGUUGUCAUCCGCAAUAAGAACUAAGGUUGGGUCCCGGUAGCAGUUUGUCAUUCAAAGAAUAACCAUUAGAUGUCUUAGCCGAUCCAUCAAACACUACCCUAAGCUUGGUAGAGGCACUUUCUUCUCGUACGACCGGGUGAUGUGGUAUGCCGUCGGCGUGGCGUCGUUACUUUAUUCACCCUGAAUUUUCGCACUGUGUUUCACUAUACCGUCGGAUCCGGCUCGAAGGACCAAAUUUUAUGUUACGUUUUCGAUUAACUUUGUGGUGGUUUUUUUUUAUUUUUUUUAAGUUCUUUAUUUAUUUUUCUCUUGCAACAUCCCCGACGCGGAAUGAUGCGUUUCGCAGCACAUUUUUUUACUUAGUAGCGACAGUGUCGGUAACUAUCAUAACAAAAAAUGUUACUAAAUCUAUUGGGGAUAAAACAUAAAAAUUGGUAAUCCCGAACAAGAACCAUGAGUCGGGUCAAUGUGAAAUCCCGUCAAACGAGCGAACCGACAAAUCCAAAGUAUUUUGUGUAAAUUGUAAAAAAUACGGUCAUCCCGCUCCGUAUCGCGGCUGUCCCAAAAUCGCCGAGUACGGUAAAAUUAUUGCUCAAAAAGUAGACGCAGCGAACAAGUGGAGCCAAGCAAAGCUAGUAAAAAUUGCCAAGAUCGUAGACCCGACAACCACCUUUAGUUCCAAUGUAGCUAAUAAGCCUGCCGAGGAUCGCGAAUCAAUGAAAUUAGUAGCGGUGAGGCCAGAGAUCCCACCGAGACUUCGGCUGAGGCAAGACCAAUGCGCGCGAGCGAAACGAGCCGUCUUAUCGAAAUGUUUGACCGUUUAAACACCCAACUCCAGAAAAUACAAGAAGACGUUUCACAAAAUACGCCAUUCAGCGCAGGAAUCACCUGGCUCAUCUAUUGCAAUUGGAAAAACCUGAGUUUGUCCUUUUGGGCGAAACGAAACUCAGCGACAGAUUCAAAAUGUCCUUCGAAAAUUAUGCAAUGAUCGGAAAUGACAGACCGAAUGCGAUACAAGGAGGGGGGACGGCACUGCUGAUCAGACAUCCAAUCAAAUUUGAGCGAAAUUUCCCGCUCUGCUUAUCGAACGCGAGAGCCUUAGAGGCUACCGUAGUCAAAUUGCGAGUCAACUGUCAUUACAAUCUUUUUAUCAUAGCAGCUUAUGCCGCGAAAAACUCAUGGAAAGAAAUUCACGCUCGAAAUCACGCAAUUGAACUCCCACAUGACCAAAGAAAUCAGUGAGCUACAAAAACACAAAACGUUCAUUAUCAGUCGAAUUAAUGAAUUACAUAAAAUCAACCCACAGGGUAAUUUAGUCCAACUCAAUAUAUUGAAAGACCUGCUCACGGAAACAAGACAGAAAAUAAGAGUAAAAGUCUCCAGAUCUGUAAACGGGCACUGGGAAAAAAAAAUCAGAGACAUAGCUAUCGACAAACCGGAUAAACUAUUCCCGCAGAUAAAUCGGUUAUUGAGACCGCGUAGCUCAAAACCUAUACCAACACUAGUGAUCCCGCAAACUAAGUACAACCUCCUGACAGCAGCCGGCGUAUCACCGAUCACUACGAUACGCGAUCACUCAAACUUCGUAAUUUCCAACCGAGAAGAAAAACUGAACGUCAUAGGAGCGCACUUCGCAGCCACAAAUAUCCAAAAUACUAACCUGGGCAAAGGCAAACACGCCGCUCUGAUCAAAACCAAAAUCGGAGAACUGAAAUCCGCCAUCGGAAGUGACAGGGCUGCAAACAAAACAGUCACAACCUUCUCUGACUGCAAUCCGGCGACUCAACUUAGAAGUGACGAAGCAGCCCUUAAAUAUUUCACAUCAGCUAUCGAGUUAAGGGACAUAUUCAAAAAAACUGAGUAAUAAGAAAUCAGCAGGUUACGACAAUAUUCCUAGUAUAGUACUUAAACAUCUUAAAAAAAAAAUUGUCAACUACUACUGCAUUCUCUUCAAUAACGCGCUCAACAACACCUACUUUUCGAAUUGUUGGAAAACAGCAAAAGUUAUCGCUCUACUGAAAAAAAACAAGAAAUGUUCAGACCCUUCAAGCUACAGACCCAUCAGUUUGCUGUCAAACAUUAGUAAAAUCUUUGAAGUCUUGGUGAAUAAAGCCUUGACGGUCUUUUGUGACGAGAAUGAGAUAAUACCGGAAUCUCAAUUUGGUUUCAGACACAAACAUUCAACCGUCCACGCCAUCAAUAAAUUCACAUCAGAUAUUUGUUGGGCGUUGAACAACAACGAUUGCGUGGCAGCAUGCUUGAUAGACCUGGGGAAGGUUUUCGAUACCGUAUGGCUAGACGGCUUAUUUUACAGAUUGAUACGAAAAAACUUUCCUGUAAAACUUACUCAAAUGCUCUGGCAAUGAGUUAUGUUACAUGACAAGCGUUUGCGGUCUGUGACGGCUACUUGGAUUCAGUAAAAACCUUCAGCAUUGCCGACGGUUUACAACAAGGUACCGUUAACUCGCCGAUUUUAUUCAAUUUUUAUAAUAGCGACAUUUUGAACCUCUCCAACUUGAACAAGGAUCCCUCGAAGAAAGCGAUCGCAUUCGCGGACGAUUCAGUCAUAUAAUACAUAUCAGGUAGAAAACCCUCAGUACUCAAAAUCCGACUCGAGGAUCUUUUUAUCAAAAUUGCCGAUUACUACAGAACCUGGAAGCUAAAAAUAAACACGGCUAAAUGCGAGACAAUCCUGUUCAGACCUAUGCUUAAAAAAGCGUCUCGCGACGCCAAGAAAAACUGGAAAAACUUUGAAAUUAGGGAUAGCAGAAGAGACGGCACACCCGUCGCGCACAGAGACUCUGUUAGAUAUUCAGGGACAGAUUUAAUCAACAUGUAAACAUACAAUUAAGUAAGGCUCAAAAGGCCUUUUGCGGCUCAAUCCGGCUCUUCCAUGCACCGCUUCUACUUAAGAAGAUUAAAGUCUUGUGCCAUUUACUUCUCAUAAGACCUAUAAUCACGUAUGGAUGCCCGAUAUGGUUUAACUUAAGCCCUGGAAUGAUGGAAAAAAUCAGAAUCUUUGAAAGAAAAUGUAUACGCAUCUGUCUGGGCAGGUACAGGUCAGCUUCAUCGGCCUACGUCAGAUACAUGAAUACUAUCAGGCUUCAUCCCUUCGGAAGCCUUCAUUUACCUCGACGGAUGCGGAUACAUUCAGGAUGAGCAUAAUAUACCCAUCAUUUACGACGUCAAAAGAAAUCUCCACCAAAAAGAAAUUUUAUUCAAUCCCAAUAGCAAUUGUGAAGAUGCGCAUGACAAUGACGCAACGUAGCACUCCCAGCAAAAGACCUUAAGGACAAUCAUAGACGUAACAGUGAGAAGUAUUGGUGGAUAAAUCAGCAAUAACGCCCAGAGCAGCAGCGCAAUCCCAUCAGCUGUGAUUUUCUAGUCCACAGGCAACAAUAGUCGUAGGAAUGUACGAGAUUAGUGUCUUUAAGUUUCCCGCCUUUGUUUUGUCCGAUUAUUCUGUAAUUCGUUUCUGUUUGAUUGUUUGGUUUAUCUCAGUUCAUUUUAUUUUUUCAUCUUAUUUAGUUCAUUUUUGUACUGCCCCUCUCUUAUCACUAGGCUUAAUUAAUGUACAUGAACUCGCCCCCUGAUUAGUUUUUGCUAAAGCCGUUUUCUGAUCAAAACCGUCAGCCGAAAGGCCGCAAUGCCCCUCAUGCCUUUGUCAACCCUAUACGGGAACUACGAAAAGUACACCUACGUCUCCGUGCAACGAUAAGGAGGCGUAUUAGAUAAAUACGUAAUCUGGCGUGUAGUGCUCGCAGCGGCGAGCCGUAACGCAUGAAUACUAUUAUUGUGAUGAUGUUAAUAUGUUUAAGGAGUUUUUCCAUAUUAUAAUAAAUGAAACUGUAUAUAACAAAGGACUUAUAAAUAAAAUUCUAUUGUUACGUCCA